AACGCUGGCGGCAUGCUUAACACAUGCAAGUCGCACGAACCUUUCGGGGUUAGUGGCGGACGGGUGAGUAACGCGUAGGGAUCUAUCCACGGGUGGGGGAUAACUUUGGGAAACUGAAGCUAAUACCGC
rnacentral:rRNA from 1 species